rnacentral:rRNA from 1 species
GAAGGGAGCGAGCGUUAUUCGGAAUCACUGGGCGUAAAGGGUGCGUAGGUGGCACUAUAAGUCAGUCGUUAAAGCUCACGGCUUAACCGUGAAUCCGCGAUUGAUACUGUAGAGCUAGAGGGCAAGAGAGAGAAGUGGAAUUCUCGGAGUAGCGGUAAAACGCGUAGAUCUCGAGAGGAACACCAACAGCGAAGGCAGCUUCUUGGCUUGUUUCUGACACUGAGGCACGAAAGCGUGGGGGGGAGCAAACAGGAUUAGAUACCCUGGUAGUCCACGCCGUAAACGAUGAUCACUAGAUGUUGGUUGGGCUUGACCCGAUCUGUAUCGUAGCUAACGCGUUAAGUGAUCCGCCUGGGGAGUACGAUCGCAAGAUUA